AUUGAACGCUGGCGGCAGGCCUAACACAUGCAAGUCGAGCGGAUGAGGGGAGCUUGCUCCUGGAUUCAGCGGCGGACGGGUGAGUAAUGCCUAGGAAUCUGCCUGGUAGUGGGGGAUAACGUCCGGAAACGGGCGCUAAUACCGCAUACGUCCUGAGGGAGAAAGUGGGGGAUCUUCGGACCUCACGCUAUCAGAUGAGCCUAGGUCGGAUUAGCUAGUUGGUGGGGUAAAGGCCUACCAAGGCGACGAUCCGUAACUGGUCUGAGAGGAUGAUCAGUCACACUGGAACUGAGACACGGUCCAGACUCCUACGGGAGGCAGCAGUGGGGAAUAUUGGACAAUGGGCGAAAGCCUGAUCCAGCCAUGCCGCGUGUGUGAAGAAGGUCUUCGGAUUGUAAAGCACUUUAAGUUGGGAGGAAGGGCAGUAAGUUAAUACCUUGCUGUUUUGACGUUACCAACAGAAUAAGCGCCGGCUAACUUCGUG
rnacentral:rRNA from 1 species